rnacentral:rRNA from 1 species
AAUCUACCUCCGAGUGGGGAAUAACCAAGAGAAAUCUUGGCUAAUACCGCAUAACACUUACGAGUCAAAGCAGCAAUGCGCUUGGAGAGGAGUUCGCGGCAGAUUAGUUAGUUGGCGGGGUAAUGGCCCACCAAGACGAUGAUCUGUAUCCGGCCUGAGAGGGCGCACGGACACACUGGAACUGAAACACGGUCCAGACUCCUACGGGAGGCAGCAGUGGGGAAUUUUGCGCAAUGGGGGAAACCCUGACGCAGCAACGCCGCGUGGAG